UUUGUCUUCGUUAUUCAUUUCUCCAUCUUCAUCAUUUCUUUUUCCAUUUCCACCGUCUCCUCUCAAGGAAAAGCAAAACUCAUCCACCAGAAGCUAAGCAAGAAAGAAGAAGGAAGGUUUUGUGAAAUUGAAGCUGAAGAGGAAGAAGAGAACCUUGGAAAAGUGACAUCUAUGGCAGAAGUAUGGCCGAGAAGAAUUAAACCGAGCUUACAGACCAAGGAUCUAGCCCAAGACUGUAGAGAUCGAGUUCCUGGUGCCUGAUAGACUGCCUUAGUCUGCUGAAGCUCCGUUAUCGGUUGCCAGUAUGUGUUUCGAGUUGGGCAUAGAGUCUGUUGUGUUAUGAUGUAUAUACACCCUUGUAUAUUAUAGAUACUCCACAAAUUGUAUAAGCUUUAGGAGCUGCAGUUGUGUAAAUUUUUGUUGGUUAUGUUUUGGUUAACGUGUCUCUAGGUUUACUUGUGAAAUUAGUUAUUUUUAAGAUACAUUUUAUGAUAUAUAUGAUUAGUCUAGGAUUCGCUGCGUUGUGUACAUGUAUAAUAGUUUAUAUACUAGACUGGCAAG